AUGGUGCCCGGGGCGAGGGCUCCGGCGGCGUCCGUGCUGCGUGGGCUCGUGGCGCUCGCCGGCGCGGCCGUCUUGUGGUUCUCCGGCGCCGCCGAGGCCCGCGUCCUACUCACGCUCGACGACUUCGGCGCCGUCGGCGACGGCAUUGCCAACGACACGCAGGCGUUCGUGGACGCGUGGACGGCGGCGUGCGGCUCGGAGGAGCAGGCCGUGCUCGCCGUGCCCGUCGCCAAGGCCUACCAGAUCUGGCCGGUGCAGCUCUCCGGCCCCUGCAAGAAGAAGCUCAAGCUGCUGAUCGCCGGGACGAUCGUGGCGCCGGCAAGCCCCGACGAGUGGGCGGGGAGGGACCCGAUGAAGUGGCUCUACAUCUACGGCGUGGACGGCCUGUCCGUGAGCGGCGGCGGCACCAUCGACGGCGUCGGGCAGGAGUGGUGGGCGCGCUCCUGCAAGCGCAAGAAGACCCAGCCCUGCAACACGCGGCCUCCUCCUAGGGCGUUGCAUUUCGAGGAGUGCAGGGGGGUGAGCGUGCAGGGGGUGACGCUGCAGAACGGGCCGCAGUUCCACCUGUCCUUCACGCGGUGCACGGACGUGAAGGCCAACUUCCUCCGGGUGGUGGCGCCGGCGGACAGCCCCAACACCGACGGCGUCCACCUCAACGACUCCUCCCGCGUCCAGAUCACGGACAACCUCAUCUCCACGGGGGACGACUGCGUGUCGAUGGUCGGCAACUGCUCGGACGUCCGCGUAAGAGACAUCUCGUGCGGGCCCGGCCACGGUAUCAGCAUCGGGAGCCUGGGCAAGAACCGGACCACGGACAGGGUCGAGAACGUGAGGGUGGACACCUGCUUGCUCACCAACACCACCAACGGCGUCCGGAUCAAGAGCUGGCAGGGGGGCAUGGGCUCCGCCCGCGACCUGAGGUUCGAGAGCAUCGUGAUGAAGAACGUGUCCAAUCCCAUCAUCAUCGACCAGUACUACUGCGACCAGCCUACGCCCUGCGCGAACCAGACGGAGGCCGUGGAGGUGCGCAAGGUGGAGUUCGUGGACGUGAGGGGCACGUCGGCGACGGCGCAGGCGAUCAAGAUCGCGUGCAGCGACACCUUGCCGUGCCGGGAGCUGGAGCUGAGGAACGUCAACCUCACCAUGGUGGGCGGGGGCGCGGCCACGGCCUCCUGCUACAGGGCGUCCGGCAAGGCCGUUGGAGCCGUCGCCCCGGCGUCCUGCCUCGCCAAGGGUGACCCGUGA
rnacentral:rRNA from 1 species